UCUUAAGCUGUAAAGGUAAAAGAAGCCCUUU
rnacentral:piRNA from 1 species